GCGUCACUGGAGCGAGCGAGAGAGAGGGCGGCAAGGCGAAAGCAAGCUGGAGGGAGGGCUGAGAGGGGGCAGAAAGACGGCGGAAAAGAGCGUAGCCCAAACGAGGGGAUUGGAGCACCAAGACAUUGCAAAUUAGAGUCAGAGUAGAAACUGUAAUUUGAGAAGAAUAGAAGCAUAAUACAUCUAAAUUGUGAUGUCUCCAGAAUGUGGUAUUUUUCUGCUGUCUUGAUCUUCCUUCUCAGAGAAGGAAUUUAUGGUUCACUUGUAUCUUUUGCCCAUUUUGCAAAUCUGGUGAUGCAGUCCAAAGGAUGUGCCCAACAGAGCAAAGGUGGGACAUAAUGCACCAGAGGCCUGAAAGGGGCUAUAGCAAGAUAGCAAACUGAAAUCCUCCGCAUUCUGAUGGGUGGCAAGAGAAAGAAAAGAAGGCAGAAGAAUCGACAGCUUGAUACUUGCCUCUCUGCAAAAGACCGGCUUUUGGAUGUUGACCUCUCUUAGCUGUGGAUUCAGCAACUCAACCACUAGAAGAUAAUACGUCUUGUUUGAGCCUGAACUUGAUUGUAAGCCUCACAUUGAAAGAUCUAGUUAGAAUGCCAGGUACUCUUGCUGAUUUUUAGUAUAAACACUUUGUUGAGGAGACCUACUAGACUUCCUGUAUUUGUUCAUUUUGGACAGGUAAAAUUGCAAAAAGAAGGUGUAGGCUUUGCUAUUGGAAUUACCUUAAGUCUAAGGACCCAUGAGAAAACAGAGAAUUAAAAUAUUGUACUUUCCUUCUUAAAGUACUUUUUCAUCCACUGGAUCAUAAGCCAAAUGCUAUUUGCAGUUGACAAUGCUAUCCAGAUAGAACUCUGAAUUUCCUUUCUGUUCUUUGGCUGUCCCACAAGUUUGAUUUCACAUCCAAGGGGUUAGUCUUUGGCCUUUCACCAUUUUCUCCAAGUUUGUGGCCCCACCAGUGUGUAUGUGUAUAUAUAUCUGUGUGUGUAUGCUUGUAUAUGUGUAUUGUAUAUAUAUGUGUGUGUAUACACAUAUAAAUGUAUUUAUGUGUAUAUAUAUGUAUGAAAUUAAUAAAAUUAUUUUAUUCCAUGUGUGUAUGUAUGGAAAAGUAGAAUAAGGGAAAUAGUGAGUGGUUGGCUAAAUGGUUCAUUUUAAAACCUCAAAAUGUUUUAGAGUCAAUUCAGAAUGUAAGCAUGAGUCUUUCACAAUUGGUAACUUCUAGUUUGUGAGUUUCAAUUACACAGGGCAGGAGAGUCUUUUGGUAUAUUUGUUGUCAAGGAUAAAAAAAAUUAUUUUCUACUGCAAAGUCCAUUUAGACUUGUGUCAUUCACCCUAUAAUGCUAUUAAUUAAUAUCUCUGUUCAGGUAUUAACAGAGGUAUAUACCUGAAUAUACCUAGAGCUAGAUAUGAGUAGGACAGGGCAAUGGCUCUAAUGAAGAAACAAAGGAAGUUACGAUUUGAAGGACUGCAAGGAGCUCUUAUUUGUGAAAUAUUCUGACAGAUAGAUGGACUGUUCAUAGAAUAUGACAUUGUAGCAGCUGAGAUUUUCUUUGUAAAAUUAUGUUGUAUAUGCUGAAUAAUUUAAUUUUACUCUAUUUCUGAUUUCUUGGUGUAUCUGAAAGGUUUUCAUAUGCAUGUAUUCUCUGCCCUAUGACUUCUGCAAAUGAA